UACGUAGGGUGCGAGCGUUUGUCCGGAAUUAUUGGGCGUAAAGAGCUCGUAGGCGGUUUGUCACGUCUGCUGUGAAAUCCCGAGGCUCAACCUCGGGCCUGCAGUGGGUACGGGCAGACUGGAGUGCGGUAGGGGAGAAUGGAAUUCCUGGUGUAGCGGUGGAAUGCGCAGAUAUCAGGAGGAACACCCGUGGCGAAAGCGGCUCUCUGGAACGGUACUGACGCUGAGACGCGAAAGCGUGGGGAGCGAACAGG
rnacentral:rRNA from 1 species